UAUUGCACAAUGGGCGCAAGCCUGAUGCAGCCAUGCCGCGUGUGUGAAGAAGGCCUUCGGGUUGUAAAGCACUUUCAGCGAGGAGGAAGGGUUCAGUGUUAAUAGCACUGUUCAUUGACGUUACUCGCAGAAGAAGCACCGGCUAACUCCGUGCCAGCAGCCGCGGUAAUACGGAGGGUGCAAGCGUUAAUCGGAAUUACUGGGCGUAAAGCGCACGCAGGCGGUUUGUUAAGUCAGAUGUGAAAUCCCCGCGCUUAACGUGGGAACUGCAUUUGAAACUGGCAAGCUAGAGUCUUGUAGAGGGGGGUAGAAUUCCAGGUGUAGCGGUGAAAUGCGUAGAGAUCUGGAGGAAUACCGGUGGCGAAGGCGGCCCCCUGACAAAGACCGACGUCAGGUGCGAAA
rnacentral:rRNA from 1 species